rnacentral:rRNA from 1 species
UGGGGAAUAUUGCACAAUGGGGGAAACCCUGAUGCAGCAACGCCGCGUGAAGGAAGACGGUUUUCGGAUUGUAAACUUCUUUUCUUAGUGAAGAAACAAAUGACGGUAGCUAAGGAAUAAGCAUCGGCUAACUACGUGCCAGCAGCCGCGGUAAUACGUAGGAUGCGAGCGUUAUCCGGAUUUACUGGGUGUAAAGGGAGCGCAGGCGGGACUGCAAGUUGGAUGUGAAAUACCGCCGCUUAACUGCGGAGCUGCAUCCAAAACUGUAGUUCUUGAGUGGAGUAGAGGCAAGCGGAAUUCCGAGUGUAGCGGUGAAAUGCGUAGAUAUUCGGAGGAACACCAGUGGCGAAGGCGGCUUGCUGGGCUCUAACUGACGCUGAGGCUCGAAAGUGUGGGGAGCAAACAGGAUUAGAUACCC